UUUUGCUUUAUUUUGACAUGUAUUCCUUUUUUUUGCUUUACUUAUUGUAUUCUCAAAUGUAUUUACAUACACAUCAAUACAAUGAGUAGACAUAUUCUCUUCAAUUGUGUGCAAUUUGAUCUCUAAGUGAUUGUUUGUUCUGCUUACCUCCUUUUUGAUAUGAUGACAAAAAGGGGGAGAAAUACUUAAUAGAUAUGUAAAUGGAAUCAACAUAAAAGGAAUCAAAAUGAGAAUUAAAACAUAAUUUGUUCUUAGUGGAUUUGGUACCUUGAGGCUCAUUAUCUCUCUGUUGGGGCUCCUAAUGGAGUAAUCUCCAGAAUCUAUUCAAGGGAUAUUCGGAGAUUAGCUGAAUCCUACUCAAGAACAAAUUGACAGAUUUUCCCUCUAAAAACCAAAAAUUUCAGUUCAAAAACUGCAAUGCAUUAAAAGGAAAUUCAGAGAAUCAAAACAAAGUUGAAUGCAUAUGUUGAGGGGGAGAAUCUGAAUUCUUAAGAAAGCUAAAUCAUUAAAUAUAUAUAAGCCAAACAAUUGAUUGCAUGAUAUGAAGGCUUAUAUAAUUCCAAAUGAAAGGGGGAGCUUUAACUCCAAAAUUUAUUGUUUCACACCUUUCAAGAUUGGAUAAAUCAAAUAACCAGACACUUGAAUUCAUUUAUGGAUUUUAU
rnacentral:lncRNA from 1 species